rnacentral:tRNA from 1 species
GAUGAUGUAGCUCAAUGGUAGAGUUUUACGCUGAUACCGUAAAGGUUAAAUGUUGAAAUCGUUUCAUCAUCA